rnacentral:misc_RNA from 1 species
UAAUAAGUGUUUUAUGGCACUUUUUAAAUCCAUAUCCACCUUGUGUGCAAUGUCAGUCGAUCUUCUUCAUGGAGAUCGACCAAACAUCAACCUUUAUCUUUUAACUCUUUGUCUGAAAAAUAUUAUGAAUAAACAAUUCACAAUA